AACUCGAGAAACUUAUUAUGUGCUCUCACUAACUCUAAUCUAUGCAAUGAAGCUAAACUUGUCAAACUGUUCAGACCGAAUAUCAAUAUUCCACCUACAAGUAGUUUGAGAAACGAAGCAACUAAACUUGGUCUCUUGUUCAUAUUCUAUCUUGAGAAUGAGUCUAAUGUUAAUAUACAGCCCACAGAUAAUCUGAGAGUUCUAAAAAAUGAAGCUGCCAAGAUUCAACUUCUCUUUACGGCUUACCUUGAAAAGAAAUCAACAACUCCUGGAUAAAAAUCGGUCAAUCCAAACUUUCCAUUCUAAAC